AUGGUGAAUCAAUUGUUCAAUAUUUCCCACCAACUAGCAUCCUCUCAUCACAUUCUAACACCACUCUGCAUAAUUUAUGAGUAUGUUGAAGGAGGUGGAGCGUUCCCCAAAGCAGCACAAGCAAUAAGAGUGGAAUUUAUGAAUAUUGUUAAAAGUAUUCUAUUAAUUCUAACAAUUAGAGUUGAUUCAUUAUGUCAGAUAAAAUCUUCUAAGUUAUGCAUUUUGCUAGUACGAUUUUAA